CUUAGAGUAUGGUACAUUAUACAAGGAAACUAGCGACAUCUAUUGACUGUUCGGCAGCACUAUUUAAUUAACUUUUUCCUCAGAAGAUGGCAGAACGUAAAAUUUUUAUGCAAAAAGAAUAGAAUGGCUAUAAAAAUAACUAAAAUCAUUUUAUUUAGAACAAAAUUCAAUUGCUUUUAUAAAUAUAUAAUCUAUUCGAUGAAACGAUUUUUAAGUGCUAUAUACAGCGGAAAAUGAAACGUUUUCUCUCAUAAGUGUCAGUACCAGUGUUGCCGUUCUAAGAACGUUGUCUCAAUCUAGGGAAUUUAGGGGAACGUUUGGGGGAUAAACAAAUUCAGGGUACGUCUAGCUACGUUUUGAAAAUAGCAGAAAGUAUCAAAUCAGCCAUACUGGUCGAUUUGAUACUGAUUCUGAAAGAAACGAUGUGCCCAACAAUUUUUUUUUCGUUUUCGAUUUUGUUAGUUUUGCUAGUGACUUUUAAUUUUGGAAAAAGGCAACCCUGUCCAAUGCGAGAUAUGACAGGUCACAGGAUAAUCCGUUUGUUUUCUGAAAUUUGAAUUAUUCUUGAUUUCUUGAGUUUGUUGUUAAUUUUAAAAUGGCUUCUAGGAGGAAGGUGUAUUGUGUUUUUGGAUGUAGUGAAAUGGGAGCAAUUAUGCAUCGUUUCCCUCACCCUUCAAGACGACGAGUUGUUUGCUAUCGGGAUGUCAAUUGUUGGUGAAUGACUAAAAGAUCUUGAGCCUGACAUGAUCUAAAGAAACAAGAGAGACUGUGAUUACCAUUUCAAGCCUGAGCACAAAGUUUCAGGUCACCGAUUACUCCAUUUAUCUGUUCCAUCAAUCUACUAGUGGUAUAUUUCAUUCUGCGAGUAUAGCAGUUUACAUGGAACAUAACUAUUCUCCGCCAAGGAUGUGGCCUUAUGAGACAAGGGCAAAUGAAGAUAAUGAUGUCCCCAUUAAAUCAGCAAAUUUUAGAUAAAGGUCGCACAAAACAUUGUGAUGAAUACUUAGUAAAAAAAUAUAAAGUCCCAAAUUGAACAGAAAAAUUGAAGUUAAAGAAAAGUAUGGCUAAAGAGAGAAGUUUUAAAUUGCCAAUGCCGAAAAUUAGUUGCUGGUCAGGCAUUUCAUAAAGUCACAGCAAAAAUGUCAGAAGCUGGAAUUUUUUUUACUGGAAUACAAUUUAAACAAGCUCUGAAAAUACCUAAAGGAAGACGUUAUACCGCUGAAGAAAAAGUGUUGGCCUUGACUUUGUUAUUUUAUUUGUUAUGUUUGUGUUAUUAUACUGCUUAACCAAAUACAUAUAUAAUAUAUAAAUAAUCUUAAGCUACUAGAAUGCUAGUUAUAUAGUGUGGAAAAAAAUGAAUAAACUCCCAAUUAAUUUAAAAGCGUUUUUCUUUACCUGGCCCAAUUAUCUUUAGAUUUUCAAAUGUGUCAAGUGAUUUGUUUUGUUGUUAUCUUUUUUAUCACCUGGAAAUGUUUAGCUUUAAGUCCAGCCACCAAUUUAUUACGCAACUAGAUUUUUUUAUAUGCAUUGUGUAAUUGUGUAAUUGUGCUACCUGAUUUGGCUCCACUUUUCGGCUUCAUUUUAUUUUAUUUUACUCUUUCAUUUGUUGUCAUUGUACUUGUAUUGUUUUGUUUCACGUUGUGUUGUUUUAAUUUUAAUUAUUGUAUUCUGUGUCUAUUAUUGUGGAGUCAAAUAAAUGAUCUUUCUUUCUUUCUUCUUUCUAAAUUUGGGUUGGUUAUAUCACGCAUACAAUGAUUGUACGCGGCAUAACAGAUCGACACAAUAAUACAGUUGUGAUAAAGGUAACGCAAUAUAAAUUAUUAUCAGAAUAGCAAUAAUACCUAUAGGCACGUAUAUAGAUAUACGUAUAGGUAUCUAUAGCACUUUUAAUGCGCCCGCCAUACGCUUGGGGCGCUAGUGUUCAUGGGUUCUCGUUUUAUCACGCAAGAUGCCUCUCUUUUC